CGUUGAGACGAGCACAUCGAGAGCUGCCGCGUUAUUUUCUAGAUUAUUCUGUGCCAAUUUUUAAUACUGCGUUUCGACUUCGCGACAAUUGAGGCAAAUUAAGACGCGUACUCUUCACGCGAACAGAUGUUGCGGACUUUACCAUGACAGAGAUCCAAUAGAGCAGACGCAGUCACGCAGCUCUAGGGGAUGUGAUGCCUGGGAUAUGCCGCGCUGGAGGCCUCGAGCCUUUCUGAGUCGAAAAGACGAACCAGCCAACUCUUAGGAGCUGCUGCGCCAGAGGAUUUGGCUCGGGCCGAGCGGGGUUAGCUCGAAGAAAGGAAAGCAGAAUGUGGCUAUCCUGAUCGGCGGUUUGG